rnacentral:rRNA from 1 species
GUGGGGAAUCUUGCGCAAUGGGCGAAAGCCUGACGCAGCCAUGCCGCGUGAAUGAUGAAGGUCUUAGGAUUGUAAAAUUCUUUCACCGGGGACGAUAAUGACGGUACCCGGAGAAGAAGCUCCGGCUAACUUCGUGCCAGCAGCCGCGGUAAUACGAAGGGGGCUAGCGUUGCUCGGAAUUACUGGGCGUAAAGGGCGCGUAGGCGGACAGCUUAGUCAGAGGUGAAAGCCCAGGGCUCAACCUUGGAAUUGCCUUUGAUACUGGCUGUCUUGAGUGUGGGAGAGGUGAGUGGAUCUACGAGUGUAGAGGUGAAAUUCGUAGAUAUUCGGAAGAACACCAGUGGCGAAAGCGACUCACUGGCCCAAUACUGACGCUGAGGCGCGAAAGCGUGGGGAGCAAACAGGAUUAGAAACCCGAGUAGUCC